UACGGAGGGUGCAAGCGUUAUCCGGAUUCACUGGGUUUAAAGGGUGCGUAGGCGGGUUGGUAAGUCCGUGGUGAAAUCCCCAAGCUUAACUUGGGAACUGCCGUGGAUACUAUCAAUCUUGAAUACUGUGGAGGUAAGCGGAAUAUGUCAUGUAGCGGUGAAAUGCUUAGAUAUGACAUAGAACACCGAUAGCGGAGGCAGCUUGCUACACAGUCAUUGACACUGAGGCACGAAAGCGUGGGGAUCAAACAGG
rnacentral:rRNA from 1 species